AUACGUAGGGGGCGAGCGUUGUCCGGAAUGAUUGGGCGUAAAGGGCGCGUAGGCGGCCUGUUAAGUCUGGAGUGAAAGUCCUGUUUUCAAGAUGGGAAUUGCUUUGGAUACUGAUGGGCUUGAGUGCAGGAGAGGUUAUCGGAAUUCCCGGUGUAGCGGUGAAAUGCGUAGAGAUCGGGAGGAACACCAGUGGCGAAGGCGGGUAACUGGACUGCAACUGACGCUGAGGCGCGAAAGUGUGGGGAGCAAACAGGAUUAGAUACCCUGGUAGUCCACACUGUAACCGAUGAAUGCUAGGUGUAAGAGGUAUCGACCCCUUUUGUGCCGGAGUUAACACAAUAAGCAUUCCGCCUGGGGAGUACGGCCGCAAGGUUGAAACUCAAAGGAAUUGACGGGG
rnacentral:rRNA from 1 species